rnacentral:rRNA from 1 species
AGAGUUUGAUCCUGGCUCAGAACGAACGCUGGCGGCGUGCCUAACACAUGCAAGUCGAACGUGAAACCCACAUUGAUUACUUCGGUAUGAUCUGCGGGCGGAAAGUGGCGAACGGGUGAGUAACACGUAGGUGACCUGCCUCGAAGUGGGGGAUAACCAUUGGAAACGAUGGCUAAUACCGCAUGGCUUUGUUGAAGUGGGAACUUCGGCAAAUAAAGCUCUGGCGCUUUGAGAGGGGCCUGCGUCCGAUUAGCUAGUUGGUGGGGUAAUGGCCUACCAAGGCUGCGAUCGGUAGCUGGUCUGAGAGGACGAUCAGUCACACGGGAACUGAGACACGGUCCCGACUCCUACGGGGGGCAGCAGUGAGGAAUAUUCGGCAAUGGGGGCAACCCUGACCGAGCAACGCCGCGUGGAGGAUGAAGGCCCUUGGGUCGUAAACUCCUUUUCUGUGGGAAGAGACAAAGGACGGUACCACAGGAAUAAGUCACGGCUAACUACGUGCCAGCAGCCGCGGUAAUACGUAGGUGGCAAGCGUUAUCCGGAAUUACUGGGCGUAAAGCGUACGCAGGCGGUCAAAUAAGUCUGACGUGAAAGCUCCUGGCUUAACUGGGAGAGGUCGUUGGAAACUAUUUGGCUUGAGGUGAUGAGAGGGGUGCGGAAUUCCCGGUGUAGUGGUGGAAUGCGUAGAUAUCGGGAGGAACACCAGUGGCGAAAGCGGCACCCUGGCAUUUAUCUGACGCUCAUGUACGAAAGCGUGGGGAGCGAACGGGAUUAGAUACCCCGGUAGUCCACGCCGUAAACGAUGAACACUAGGUGUAGGUGGCAUCAAACCCAUCUGUGCCGAAGCAAACGCGAUAAGUGUUCCGCCUGGGGAGUACGGGCCGCAAGGCUAAAACUCAAAGGGAAUUGACGGGGGCCCGCACAAGCAGCGGAGCGUGUGGUUUUAAUUUCGAUGCAACGCUAAGACCUUACUUGGGUUUGACAUGUUACGUAGUAGUGAUGGAAAGGAACCGAGCUUCCGGGCAGCGUACACAGGUGCCUGCAAUGGACUGAUCGUUCAGGCUCGAGUUUCCGUGAGAAUGUUUGGGGUUUAG